ACUGGAAAGAGUAGAAAGGAUUGGAAACAGCAAAUUUGUCAAUGUUUUUCCUCUCUGCCGCGUCGCUGCUGCUUUAGAUUAGCCCUGUCCCCUGCAAUUUGACAGUAGCGCCGUGAACCUGCAGCGUGAGGAUCCCGGGCUAAGAUAGGGAGAAAGGAGGAGGAAUUCAGGGAAUGUUUUCCCUUGGAGCAAGCGGGGAAGCGCAGCCGCUGGGACCCGGGCUGCGGUGACAGCGCUAACACUUCCCAGAGCCGGGGACCCCGCCGCUGGAAUGGCAUUGCCCACCCUGAAAGUGAGAAGGCCUGUGGUGCUACUGGACGAGGAGCUGAUCCUACGUGGACCUAUGUGAGGACAGCUAAGAGGAUUGGGAUCUUCCCAGUAAUUCCUGCAAAUAAUAAAAUAUCCCACAAAAAUGCUGGAAAAUAUGAAAAGGUCAAUGAAGCAGGGGAAAAGAGCGAUCCAAUGCUUUUUGUGUUGUGUUUUUUUUUCCUUCCCUUUAGGAACAAUGCAUUAUCUGAAAAUCCCACUUUAUAGCUUGGAAUUUGUUUUUGUGUUGGUGACUUUCAGUCACUGAAUAAAGUGCGACCACAGAAAUCGGACA
rnacentral:lncRNA from 1 species